rnacentral:rRNA from 1 species
CACGUAGGGCGCAAGCGUUGUCCGGAAUUAUUGGGCGUAAAGAGCUCGUAGGCGGUCUGUUACGUCUGCUGUGAAAACCCAGGGCUUAACCCUGGGCUUGCAGUGGAUACGGGCAGACUAGAGGCAGGUAGGGGAGAAUGGAAUUCCCGGUGUAGCGGUGAAAUGCGCAGAUAUCGGGAGGAACACCGGUGGCGAAGGCGGGUUGCUGGGCCGACACUGACGCUGAGGCGCGAAAGCUAGGGGAGCGAACGGG